AAAAGGAGAAGUCGUAACAAGGUUUCCGUAGGUGAACCUGCGG
rnacentral:rRNA from 1 species